CCUACGGGGGACAGCAGUGGGGAAUAUUGGACAAUGGGGGAAACCCUGAUCCAGCGACGCCGCGUGAGUGAAGAAGUAUCUCGGUACGUAAAGCUCUAUCAGCAGGAAAGAAAAUGACGGUACCUGACUAAGAAGCCCAGGCCAACUACGUGCCAGCAGCCGCGGUACUACGUAGGGGGCAAGCGUAAUCCGGAUUUACUGGGUGUAAAGGGAGCGUAGACGGCUGCGCAAGUCUGUGGUGAAAUGCCCGGGCCCAACCCGGGAACUGCAUUGGAAACUGUGAAGCUGGAGUGCAGGAGAGGUAAGCGGAAUUCAUGGUGUAGCGGUGAAAUGCGUAGAUAUCAGGAGGAACACCGGUGGCGAAGGCGGCUUACUGGACUGUAACUGACGUUGAGGCACGAAGGCGUGGGGAGCAAACAGGAUUAGAUACCCUGGUAGUC
rnacentral:rRNA from 1 species